rnacentral:rRNA from 1 species
UACGUAGGGGGCAAGCGUUGUCCGGAAUCAUUGGGCGUAAAGCGCGUGUAGGCGGUUCGGUAAGUCGGCUGUGAAAGUCCAGGGCUCAACCCUGGGAUGCCGGUCGAUACUGCCGGACUAGAGUUCGGAAGAGGCGAGUGGAAUUCCCGGUGUAGCGGUGAAAUGCGCAGAUAUCGGGAGGAACACCAAUGGCGAAGGCAGCUCGCUGGGACGUUACUGACGCUGAGACGCGAAAGCGUGGGGAG